rnacentral:rRNA from 1 species
UUUUUGACAAUGGGGGCAACCCUUAUCCAGCCAUCGCGCGUGUAUGAUGAAGGCCNUCNNGUUGUNANGUACAUGUGGCAGUGNNNNNAAAGUAUACCGUAAUACGGGAAACUGCUGACGGUAUCAGCCGCAGAACAACCGGCUAACUAAGUUGCAGCCUGCGCGGUAAUACGUAGGGUGCAAGCGUUAAUCGCAAAUACUGGGCGCGAAUCGUGUGUAGGCGGUUCGGAAAGAAAGAUGUGAAAUCCCAGGGCUCAACCAUGGAACAGCAUUUUUAACUGCCGGGCUAGAGUAUGUCAGAGGGGGGUAGAAUUCCACGUGUAGCAGUGAAGUGCGUAGAUAUAUGGAGGAAUACCGAUGGCGAAGGAAGCCCCCUGGGAUAAUACUGACGCUCAGACACGAAAGCGUGGGGAGCAAACAGG